UACGUAGGGUGCAAGCGUUAAUCGGAAUUACUGGGCGUAAAGCGUGCGCAGGCGGUGAUGUAAGACAGUUGUGAAAUCCCCGGGCUCAACCUGGGAACUGCAUCCGAGACUGCAUCGCUAGAGUAUGGGAGAGGAAAGCGGAAUUUCUGGUGUAGCAGUGAAAUGCGUAGAUAUCAGAAGGAACAUCAGUGGCGAAGGCGGCUUUCUGGACCAAUACUGACGAUCAGGUGCGAAAGCGUGGGGAGCAAACAGG
rnacentral:rRNA from 1 species